GAUGAACGCUGGCGGCGUGCCUAAUACAUGCAAGUCGAGCGAACAGACGAGGAGCUUUCUCCUCUGACGUUAGCGGCGGACGGGUGAGUAACACGUGGAUAACCUACCUAUAAGACUGGGAUAACAUCGGGAAACCGGAUCUAAUACCGGAUAAUAUAUUGAACCGCAUGGUUCAAUAGUUAAAGACGGUUUUGCUGUCACUUAUAGAUGGAUCCGCGCCGCAUUAGCUAGUUGGUAAGGUAACGGCUUACCAAGGCGACGAUGCGUAGCCGACCUGAGAGGGUGAUCGGCCACACUGGAACUGAGACACGGUCCAGACUCCUACGGGAGGCAGCAGUAGGGAAUCUUCCGCAAUGGGCGAAAGCCUGAUGGAGCAACGCCGCGUGAGUGAUGAAGGUCUUCGGAUCGUAAAACUCUGUUAUUAGGAAAGAACAAAUGCGUAAGUAACUAUGCACGUCUUGACGGUACCUAAACAAUAAGCCACGGCUAACUACGUG
rnacentral:rRNA from 1 species